rnacentral:rRNA from 1 species
GGCGUGCUUACACAUGCAAGUCGAACGAGAAGCGUGAAGCUUGCUUUGGGAAAGUAAAGUGGCGAACGGGUGAGUAACGCGUGGGUAAUCUAUCCUUGAAUUCGGGAUAACUGACCGAAAGGUGAGCUAAUACCGGGUAACAUCGCAUUUGCCUUGGCGGAUGCGAUCAAAGGCAGCCUCUACAUGUAAGCUGUUGUUCGGGGAGGAGCCCGCGUACCAUUAGCUUGUUGGUGGGGUAAGAGCUUACCAAGGCGACGAUGGUUAGCUGGUCUGAGAGGAUGAUCAGCCACACUGGAACUGACACACGGUCCAGACUCCUACGGGAGGCAGCAGUGAGGAAUUUUGCGCAAUGGGGGAAACCCUGACGCAGCAACGCCGCGUGAGUGAAGAAGGCCUUCGGGUCGUAAAGCUCUGUCGAGUGGGAAGAACCUGUGGCAUGUUAAUGACAUGUCGCACUGACGGUACCAUUAGAGGAAGCACCGGCUAACUCCGUGCCAGCAGCCGCGGUAAUACGGAGGGUGCGAGCGUUAUUCGGAAUUAUUGGGCGUAAAGGGCGAGUAGGCGGCCUUGUAAGUCAGAUGUGAAAGCCCGGGGCUUAACCCCGGAAGUGCAUUUGAAACUACGGGGCUUGAGUAUGGGAGAGGGAAGUGGAAUUCCUGGUGUAGCGGUGAAAUGCGUAGAUAUCAGGAGGAACACCGGUGGCGAAGGCGACUACCUGGACCAAACUUGACGCUGAGGCGCGAAGGCGUGGGGAGC